CCUACGGGAGGCUGCAGUGAGGAAUAUUGGUCAAUGGCCGAGAGGCUGAACCAGCCAAGUCGCGUGAGGGAAGACGGCCCUACGGGUUGUAAACCUCUUUUGUCGGGGAGCAAAGCGAGUCACGUGUGACUCAUUGAGAGUACCCGAAGAAACAGCAUCGGCUAACUCCGUGCCAGCAGCCGCGGUAAUACGGAGGAUGCGAGCGUUAUCCGGAUGUAGUGGGUUGAAGGGGUGCGUAGGCGGCGGAGCAAGUCAGCGGUAAAAUUGCGGGGCUCAACCCCGUAGUGCAGUUGAAACUGCAUCGCUUGAGUGCGAGAGAGGUAUGCGGAAUGAGUGGUGUAGCGGUUAAAUGCAUAGAUAUCACGCAGAACUCCGAUUGCGAAGGCAGCAUACCGGCGCGCAACUGACGCUCAGGCACGAAAGCGUGGGGAUCGAACAGGAUUAGAUACCCCUGUAGUC
rnacentral:rRNA from 1 species